rnacentral:tRNA from 1 species
UUUUAUUUAGUUUACCAGUAAAAUAUUUGCUUGUCAAGCAACAGAAGCUACGCGCAAUCUAGUUAUAAUUA